UGUCGUCAGUGUGAUUUAACAAUCUUUCCUUAGAUUUAGAUAAGAGAAGUAAACCGUAUUUGGCCCAACAUCGUGCAAUAUCGGCCGAUCUAUGCUUGAAAACUUCCAUUUUGGCAUCAAAAGCUUCAUUUCUUUCAGUAAUAGCAUCCAGGGUUUUGGCAUACUGGUCCAAAAUGUAUGAACUUGCAGCCAAGUGGUGUCUUGCUUGUUUGAAACCGUUUUGUUCCAUGAGAAAUUGGGACAAAGUGGCGGCGUUUAGGGCCCAGUCUAUAGACUCAUAAUCGCCACUGUCGAGCUGUCUUUAGCUCCAUAUAUUUGGGCCAAGUAGUACAGCGUGAAUGUGUAAACUUUUUCAAAAUUCUUCCAAGCCAUUUCAACGUUGUUUCCUUCGAAAUUUGGAUUAAACACAUCGACUAUGUCAACUGGUGGUACAUUUGAUUUCUUGUAAAUUGUGUACAACUUUUCAGCCUCUUCAAGGGUCGUAUUUACUGUCUUCGAGCAACUUAAGGACCUUAUUGAAUUUUUCGUCUAAAUCGACAAAAAUCUCUUUGCUCACAGUCAUGAUGGACACUGGAAACAACUGUAAAAUAUGUGGUUCAAAUGUGACACAACUUUUCUAACACCAGUUCGAAUUCUUUAUUUGUAAGGUUUAUUUAACAAUAUUAAAUAAAUUUCAGGUUAAGUCAGAGACCGACAAAUCUGUCAAAUAGUUGAGUCUAGUGGACUAUGGAUGAAAAAAUGUGGAGCGCCGCGCGAUUUGAAUAUUUUUUCUCAAUUAUUUAAUUUAAAAAAUAAUUAUAUCUUAAAUGCCAAGCCGAAAAGAGGUUUGAUCUCACAGCAAAUAUAUGAUGUAUUGUAUGUUUUUUAAUUUGAAGUUAAUUUUGUAAUUUUAGAGUUUAAUUGGGACACUAAGUCACCAACCUGAAUACAUGUAAUUUCCCUAGUGCAAACUACAUUGUUUUUUUGAAUUUUUAAGACAAUUUUAAAUUGGUUAAAUUGCAGAAACAGCAACCGGGUUUAGCUCCACUCAUUUAGAACUAGUGAUCCCAAAAGCAUCAUAAUAGAAAUUAUUAAAAAUUUAAUUUUUUGAAUACAUAGGCAAUCAGUUUUACUGAGAUGCUACGAGGAGAUUUUAAACAUAUCUUAUCAAUUAUUACCAUUUAAAUUUAAUUUUUAGUGCUGCUGACAUCUACAGAGUGGUUAUACAUGAUUUUCAUCUAGCCAGCUUUGGAAUUUUUUUGCAUGUUAAG